rnacentral:rRNA from 1 species
CCUACGGGUGGCUGCAGUGAGGAAUAUUGGUCAAUGGACGAGAGUCUGAACCAGCCAAGUAGCGUGAAGGAUGACUGCCCUAUGGGUUGUAAACUUCUUUUAUAAGGGAAUAAAACGCGGCACGUGUACCUUUUUGCAUGUACUUUAUGAAUAAGGAUCGGCUAACUCCGUGCCAGCAGCCGCGGUAAUACGGAGGAUCCGAGCGUUAUCCGGAUUUAUUGGGUUUAAAGGGAGCGUAGAUGGGUUGUUAAGUCAGUUGUGAAAGUUUGCGGCUCAACCGUAAAAUUGCAGUUGAUACUGGCAGCCUUGAGUACAGUUGAGGUAGGCGGAAUUCGUGGUGUAGCGGUGAAAUGCUUAGAUAUCACGAAGAACUCCGAUUGCGAAGGCAGCCUACUAAACUGUGACUGACACUGAUGCUCGAAAGUGUGGGUAUCAAACAGGAUUAGAUACCCGAGUAGUC